rnacentral:rRNA from 1 species
GACGAACGCUGGCGGCGUGCUUAACACAUGCCAGUCGAACGGAAAGGCCCUGCUUUUGUGGGGUGCUCGAGUGGCGAACGGGUGAGUAACACGUGAGUAACCUGCCCUUGACUUUGGGAUAACUUCAGGAAACUGGGGCUAAUACCGGAUAGGAGCUCCUGCUGCAUGGUGGGGGUUGGAAAGUUUCGGCGGUUGGGGAUGGACUCGCGGCUUAUCAGCUUGUUGGUGGGGUAGUGGCUUACCAAGGCUUUGACGGGUAGCCGGCCUGAGAGGGUGACCGGCCACAUUGGGACUGAGAUACGGCCCAGACUCCUACGGGAGGCAGCAGUGGGGAAUAUUGCACAAUGGGCGGAAGCCUGAUGCAGCAACGCCGCGCGCGGGAUGACGGCCUUCGGGUUGUAAACCGCUUUCGCCUGUGACGAAGCGUGAGUGACGGUAAUGGGUAAAGAAGCACCGGCUAACUACGUG